CCUACGGGAGGCAGCAGUGAGGAAUAUUGGUCAAUGGACGAGAGUCUGAACCAGCCAAGUAGCGUGAAGGAUGACUGCCCUCUGGGUUGUAAACUUCUUUUAUAAAGGAAUAAAACGAGGCACGGGUGCCUUUUUUCAUGUACUUUAUGAAUAAGGAUCGGCUAACUCCGUGCCAGCAGCCGCGGUAAUACGGAGGAUCCGAGCGUUAUCCGGAUUUAUUGGGUUUAAAGGGAGCGUAGAUGGGUUGUUAAGUCAGUUGUGAAAGUUUGCGGCUCAAACGUAAAAUUGAAAUUGAUACUGGCAGUCUUGAGUACAGUUAAGGUAAGCGGAAUUCGUGGUGUAGCGGUGAAAUGCUUAGAUAUCACGAAGAACCCCGAUUGCGAAGGCAGCUUACUAAACUGUGACUGACAUUGAUGCUCGAAAGUGUGGGUAUCAAACAGGAGUAGAUACCCCGGUAGUC
rnacentral:rRNA from 1 species